UGCCAAUGAAGAAUAACAGAAGUUGCAUGUAUUACCUGAUACUUGCAGUGAUGAAAAUCAUUUUUUAACAGAGGCA